rnacentral:lncRNA from 1 species
CCAAUCCCCAUGUUUUAAACUCCCUUGGCACCGACAUCCAGCUCAUGAACCCUUCAUAGAAUGUAACAUGGGACAUUUACACAAUCUUGUAUAAUUAAUUUCUGCCUGAUCUCCCCUCUAGACUGUAAGAUCCAUGAAGGCAGGGACUCUACCUUUUUGCUUACCAUUGUAUUCCAGAGCCUGGCAUAGUGUCUGGCACAUGUUAGGUACUAAAUAAAUUCAUUCUGAAGGAAGGAAGAAUGAAUGAGUGGUAAAUUGAUACUUCUAAAAUAAUAAAGAGGAGGCCUAGCAUUUUAAAUAAGUGAUAAUAAUGGGUAGCACAUAUUAAACUUCUAGUGUUAGGUAAACACUGUUCGAAACUCUUUACUCAUUCAUUCCAGUUCCGAGGACCAACCCUAUCAGUACACAUCAGUAUCUGUGCAUAAUAGAUGAGAUCUGAGACUCAGGCUACUUGUGCAAGGCCAGGCAGCCAGUGUAAGAAGCCUGAGGUGAGAUGUCUGGCCGUGUUGCUAGUGCCGUCGCCCUCAAGAAGCCAAACAGGCUCUCAGAGUCUCUCAGGCCCUGCCCCGGACGUGGCCCCGCCCCAGAGCAUGCUGGGCAGGACCUCCCCAUAGAUCCCUCCCAUUGCCAAUGUAUUCCUCCAGAGGAUUCUGAGCUCUGCUUGGUGUUUCCAGCUGUGAUGAGGAACUGGAAUCUGGGAGAAAGGAAAACAGUACUAGAAGCAGAACAAGAGUGUGGGAUCACUCCUGGGUGGUACUGUCACCUCAUUUGGACAGUUCACUGCCUAGAUGUGCUGAGUGUGCAAAUUCUGUCUCGUUGCCUCAUCCAGUGUUUCUCUGAAUAGAAGCAAAUAUCUGGGCACCAGACUCUCUCCUGGCUUUGAUGAAGCAAGCUGCCAUGUUGGAGAGGCCUACAUGACAAGGAACUGAAGGUUGCCUCCGGCCAACUCCAGCCAACAGCCAUCCAGGAAUUGAGGCUCUCAGUCCAACAGGCCUUGAGGAACUGCAUCCAGCCAGCAGCUAUAGAAGUGAGCAAAGAAGUGUGUAUUUCCCCAGUCAAGCCUUCAGCUGAGACCCCAGCCCCAGCUGCCACCUUAAUUGCAGCCUUGUGAGAGACCUUGGAGCAGAGAACCCAGGUAGGCCUUGCCUAGAUCCCUCACCAACAGAAACUAUGAAUUAAUAAAUACUUGGUUUUUUAAGCCA